rnacentral:tmRNA from 1 species
GGGGUUGAAAUAGUUUCGACAGGAAUGUGUUAGGCUUUAACUGCAGCGGUUGGUAACCUUAAACCAAAACCAAAAUAACUGACAACAGUUAUAUGAGAGUGAACAACUCUCAACAACUCUGCUUAGCUUAGUCUACCCGAUAUAGGGUUCCCUACCAUAGUAGGGGCAGAGCAUCCCCCAAGGUUUUCUUCUUUCACGCUUGGGUAAGGUGUCAUAACAAAAGAAUAGGGACAGAGAGUGGACUUGUUACUCCUACCGAAGUUUGGUAAGUCUCGUAUAGAUGGACCUGAUGAAUAACGAUUCUAUAUUAAAUUACUCAUUUCAUCUAAGCUGUAGAUGUUAUUGAAGAACCAUUUCUGGACCGGAUGGGCAGCUCAUCCGCAGCUCCACCA